rnacentral:rRNA from 1 species
ACGUAGGGUGCAGGCGUUAAUCGGAAUUACUGGGCGUAAAGCGUGCGCAGGCGGUUUGUUAAGACAGGUGUGAAAUCCCCGGGCUUAACCUGGGAAUUGCGCUUGUUACUGGCAGACUUGAGUGUGGCAGAGGGGGGUGGAAUUCCAAGUGUAGCAGUGAAAUGCGUAGAUAUUUGGAGGAACACCGAUGGCGAAGGCAGCCCCCUGGGUUAACACUGACGCUCAUGCACGAAAGCGUGGGGAGCAAACAGGAUUAGAUACCCUGGUAGUCCACGCCCUAAACUAUGUCAACUGGUUGUCGGGGAAGCAAUUCCUUGGUAACGAAGCUAACGCGUGAAGUUGACCGCCUGGGGAGUACGGCCGCAAGGUUA